rnacentral:rRNA from 1 species
CCGUGGGGUGACUUGUCUGGUUUAUUCCGUUAACGGGCGAGACCGUAGCCUGCUAAAUAGUUUUGCUCACUUUUAGUGGGUUGAGACUUCCUUAGAGGGACAACUCUGGCUAUAACCAGGGAGGAAGUCUGCGGCAAUAACA